rnacentral:rRNA from 1 species
GACGAACGCUGGCGGCGUGCUUAACACAUGCAAGUCGAACGGAAAGGCCUGCUUUCCCUUGUGGAUUGCGGGUACUCGAGUGGCGAACGGGUGAGUAACACGUGAGUGAUCUGCCCCCAACUUGGGUAUAAGCCUGGGAAACUGGGUCUAAUUCCCGAUAGGACUGCAGGGUGGUGCCUGUGGUGGAAAACGAUUUUCUAGUGGUUGGGGAUGAGCUCGCGGCCUAUCAGCUUGUUGGUGGGGUAAUGGCCUACCAAGGCGGCGACGGGUAGCCGGCCUGAGAGGGUGGACGGCCACAGUGGGACUGAGAUACGGCCCAGACGCCUACGGGAGGCAGCAGGGGGGAAUAUUGCACAAUGGGCGGAAGCCUGAUGCAGCGACGCCGCGUGGGGGAUGACGGCCUUCGGGUUGUAAACUCCUUUCGACCGCGAGGAAGCCACCUGGUUGGAAGGGUGGUGACGGUAGUGGUAGAAGAAGCACCGGCUAACUACGUG